rnacentral:rRNA from 1 species
GAUGAACGCUGACAGAAUGCUUAACACAUGCAAGUCGAUGGGGAAGUGGUGCUUGCACCAUGGUAACCAUGGCGGACGGGUGAGUAACGCGUAAGGAACUUACCUGCGGGACCGGGAUAACAGCAGGAAACUGCUGACAAGACCGGAUAAGGUCAUUAAGCUGCAUAGCUUAGUGAUGAAAGGAGACGCCUGUGGAGAGCCUUGCGUCCUAAUAGCUAGUUGGAGGGGUAACGGCCCACCAAGGCGAAGAUAGGUAGCCGGCCUGAGAGGGUGGACGGCCACAAGGGGACUGAGAUACGGCCCUUACUCCUACGGGAGGCAGCAGUGGGGAAUAUUGGACAAUGGGGGCAACCCUGAUCCAGCAAUUCUGUGUGCACGAAGACGGUUUUCGGAGUGUAAAGUGCUUUCAGCAGGGAAGAAGGAAGUGACGGUACCUGCAGAAGAAGCGACGGCUAAAUACGUG